UACGUAGGUGGCGAGCGUUGUCCGGAUUUACUGGGCGUAAAGGGAGCGUAGGCGGACUUUUAAGUGAGAUGUGAAAUACCCGGGCUCAACUUGGGUGCUGCAUUUCAAACUGGAAGUCUAGAGUGCAGGAGAGGAGAAUGGAAUUCCUAGUGUAGCGGUGAAAUGCGUAGAGAUUAGGAAGAACACCAGUGGCGAAGGCGGCUUCCUGGUCUGUAACUGACGCUGAGGCUCGAAAGCGUGGGGAGCAAACAGGAUUAGAUACCCGGGGUAGUCCCU
rnacentral:rRNA from 1 species